CAUGGCUUUUAUUCCCACUAUACACAUAUUGUAACCUACAAUACAGACACAUGCAAAAUAUACUGUGAGUGUCAAAAAUGGACACGCUUAUACAUGCGAGGCAUUUCACAGUCUUUUAAAUUAACAUCUACCGUGUCUUGACAUGAGAGACUACUCAGAGGUUAAUAUUUGCAUGAAUUAAGUCGUUCCUUAAAGCUGAGGAAAUUCCAUUUUCCAUCUGAACAUCCUUCAAGAUGAGGAUUCAGCGUCUGGACAAGGAAGGGAUGUAGGCAAGCUUAGGACACAGUACUUUGACACCACAGACAUUCUGACACUGUGCAUCAGCGUAAUCUGACAAGACAUCCUCAUGUUUUAUCAGAGCUUUCAAAAAUGGGCCGUCGCUCUGCCUCUGCGUCUUCCGUAUGUCAGUGUCUCGUCUGGACUGCGUGGUGUCGUGUAGGUGGCGUGGAAAAACCCUGUUGAGGAGACAGAGCAUUCCAAAAAAAAAGCAGCGAGCAAGCGGAGCCAGCGCCGUGACCUCCUCGGCCAUGCGACGUGUCUGAAGUUGGCAGGGGACGCAAUUGAGAGUGACACUCCUGGUUGGAGCUGCCAAACUGCCACUUCCUGUCCUCUUUAUUCACACGUAGCUGGAGUUUUGGGUGGACGUUUGAAGGGUCCGGAACAGACAUGUGUCUCCACGUACAGCCAUCCCUUCUGACUGUCAUUACCGUGGUGCCGAGCUACUCAGUCAAGAUCAGUGCAGGGCCAGGCCGUCCGUGUUGAAAAACCAUCAUGUCCAAAAAACCCCCAUGGAAUUCACAUUGAUCCAAUGCCUGGUUAUCAUCAGAGUGUGGAAACAGGUUAAGUCCCUGGUCUUCAAGGAUGAGCCCACAAAUGAAACUCUGACACCCUGGUCGGGAAGCUACCAGUGAGCAACGUACAACCUGAGCAGGCCUUUUUGCAAUGUUUCAAAUAAAACUGUGAAAAAAUAUACAAUGCCCUCUGUAAUUACUGGGACAGUGAAGUUUUCUUCUUUUAGGUCUUUACUCCAAAAGCAUGGAUUUGAAUCAAAACAUUUUCUAUGUAGUUAAAGUAUAGCUUCAAAGCUGUAAACAAUGGUAAUACAAAUAAUCCAAAUAAUGUUGACAUGCUAAAAUGGGAGGACCAUGUUGUAAUUUCUAAAUGGUUUGUCCCUCAAAUUAAAGCCUUUCAACCCCUAAGUCAUUCCAUUAUUUCAAAGUUAUGGAAUAAAGAGAUACAGAGACAUUCUUGGAAUUCAAUGUAGUGAUACAAAAAGUUGUUUUUGAAAAAGAAGGAAAUGUCCUUAAAUAAAUAAUAGCUCAGUGAUGUAGCAAAUUUUGUACAUUUGGAUUGAAUUCUGUACAUUCUAAACAGAGUAUUUGAUUUAAAAUCC
ensembl:lncRNA